AUUGAACGCUGGCGGCAUGCCUUACACAUGCAAGUCGAACGGCAGCAUGGAGAGCUUGCUCUCUGAUGGCGAGUGGCGAACGGGUGAGUAAUGCAUCGGAACGUACCGUGUAAUGGGGGAUAACGUAGCGAAAGUUACGCUAAUACCGCAUACGACCUGAGGGUGAAAGCAGGGGAUCGCAAGACCUUGCGUUAUACGAGCGGCCGAUGUCAGAUUAGCUAGUUGGUGAGGUAAAGGCUCACCAAGGCGACGAUCUGUAGCGGGUCUGAGAGGAUGAUCCGCCACACUGGGACUGAGACACGGCCCAGACUCCUACGGGAGGCAGCAGUGGGGAAUUUUGGACAAUGGGGGCAACCCUGAUCUAGCCAUGCCGCGUGAGUGAAGAAGGCCUUCGGGUUGUAAAACUCUGUUGUUAGGGAAGAACAAGUGCUAGUUGAAUAAGCUGGCACCUUGACGGUACCUAACCAGAAAGCACCGGCUAACUACGUGCCAGCCGCCGCCGUAA
rnacentral:rRNA from 1 species